GAAUCACCUCUUCAUGAUCUUCCGCUAGGAUAUUUUGUCUGUUGGAAGAAACAUCAGAGGAAAUCUGCUGCCUUUGAUCUCAAUGGAAGGAACUUUAUCAGAUGAUCCCAAUGAUGACAAAACAACUGAAAGGUCAGGAAGAUCUCGCGUACAGUUGACUAUGGAGGUGACUAACAAUCUCUGAGCAGCGCAGAUCUGGAUCACUAGCUUUCUCUGAAUUGGCCAACUUCUUGCAAAUAACCCUGUUUAAGAUGUCCGGACUUCAAGAUUCUAAAACAAUUGACCUUUGCUAUAACCUCUCAACAGAUGGUCCAGCUUAUUUUACAGGAACAACACCAACAAAAGUCCUAGACAGAUCCUGCUUUGUCUCACUCAGGAGGUUUAUGCUGGUCUUUUACUUGUUUAGGUUAGUUUAUUAUAUUCAUUCUUAUUGAACAAAAGGAGGGUUUGACAGUGUCAGCUGUGUAUUUAUCUGAGCUCUGUAUUCCUGGAAAACAUUGAUGGUUAAUAAAUCCCCCAUCUUUUGUGCUCAGUUUCUUACUGAAAAGAGGCACCACCCUUCUGCAUACCAUUUAUGGAAGACUCCUCAUCCAUUUUUUCUCGUGACUCCAAUAAGAGUUGUGUGUCAAGGUGUCUAUGGAAAAUUGAUUUUUGGCAAAGAUGCCAGCACCAUUCAAAGGCAAAAGCAUAGUGCUUUCAACAAAUGAUUCUGGGACAACUGGAUACAGUCACACAGAGGAGAAUGAAGUUGGAUCUUUACCUCACCACUAUAUAAAAAAUAACUCAAAGUGAAUCAAAAAUCCAAGUCUAAGAGCUAAAACUGUGGGAUUCUUAGAAGAAAACAUAGAGGUAAAUGUUCAUGACAUCAGGUGUGGCAAUGGAAUUUGAGAUAUGACUCCAAACACAAGCAACAAGACAAAAAAACAGAUAAAUUGAGCUUCAUUAAAAUUAAAAAAUUUGUGGGAUGCCUGAUGGCUCGGUUGGUUAAGGAUCAGAUUUCAGCUGAGGUCAUGAUCUCACAUUUCGUGGGUUCGAGCGCCAUGGCGGGCUCUGUGCUGAUAGAGCACAGGCUCUAAGGAGCCUGGAGCCUGCUUCAGAUUCUUCUCCACCUCUCUCUGCCCCUCCCCCGCUCACACUCUGUCUCUCAAAAAAGAAUAAAAAACAUUAAAAAAUAAAAAAUAUAUUAAAACUUUUGUGCUUCAAAAGAUACUAUCAAGAAAGUGAAAAGACAACCUAAAGACUAUAGCUAUAUUUGAAAAUUGUGUAUCUGAUAAGGAACUUGUAUCUAGAAUAUAUAAAGAAUUCUUACAAUUCACUAAUAAAAAUGACAAAUAACCUAGUUUAAAAAGGCAAAGGAUUUGAAUGGACAUUUCUCCAAAGAUGACAUACAAAUGGCUGAUAAGCAUAUGGAAAUAUGCUGUAGAUCAUUAGUCAUCAAGUAAGUGCAGAUCAAAACCACAAUGAGAUAUUACUUCAAACCCACUAGCCUAGAAUCAAAAGGUAGGUCAAUAACAAGUGUUGGCAAGGAUGUAGAGAAACUGAAACCCCUCUAGAUUGCUAGUGGGAAGGCAAUGUCAUUACUACAGAAAACAAUCUGACAGUUUCUUCAAAUGAUUUACCCUAUGAUCCAGACAUUCCACUCCUAGAGAUACGGCCAAAGGGGAAAAAAAAAAAAACCCUAUGUCUACACAAAAAGUUGUACACAAAUGUUUACAGCAACAAUAUUCAUAAUAGCCAAAAGGUAGAAUCAACCCAGUGUCCAACUGGAUAUUUGGAUAAACAAAAUAAUGAUACAUCCAUACAAUGAAAUGUUAUUUGGCCAUGAAAAGGAAAGAAUGACUGACAUAUGCUAUAACACGGACAAAUCUUGAGCGCAUUAAACUAAGUAAAAGAUGCCAGUGACAAAAGACCACAUAUUGUAUUAUCCGUUUAUAUGAAACGUCCAGAAUAAGAAAAUGUAAAAAGAUAGAAAAUGAGAUAAUGGUUGCUUAGGGCUGGAAAGGAUGGUGGGUGGGGAAGGGAUGGGAGGUGAUAGCUAAAUCCGAUGUUCUUUUCUUAAAUUGAGAUGACAAAAAUAUUCUAAAAUUGAUUGUAAGGAUGGUUUCAAAUCUGUAAAUAAAAAUAAUUGUGCCU